rnacentral:lncRNA from 1 species
ACUGUGUCAGUCCUCUUCCUCUGUAAUUUAUAUCCACAGUGCUAAAGUGUCAGUAAUGCAGUACAGUUGAAGCUUCUGCAGAAUUCAUGCUAUAAAGAUGAUAAGAGCCCCCAAAGGCUAUUGAUAGAAAAAAAUCACUGAAUAAUGGAAUACUGAGAUACUGCAUUUAACUACUCAGAAGAUGUCUUCAGAAGACAUUUUGCCAGUGCCAAUGUUGGUCGUGCCUUUGUAAAAGCAUAAGGAGAAGAGAGGAGUGGGGAAAACGUAGAGAGAACCAUCCCUGCAGACCCCAAGAUCUCCUGAGAACAAGCUUAAGAAUAUAAUGCCUGGGAACACUCUGAGAAACCUGCUUCUUCCAGAAAUGGCACAAACUUAUCUAACAUUCUCCAGGCCUCCUAAGUUCCAACUGAUUGCUUUUAAUAAUAUUUAUUCAUCCAAAAAUAUGCCUAUAUGCUGUUUUACUACAACAGACUCCUGUUGUCAGCCUUCAGAGAAUUAUUUUUUUAAGAAGGUUCAUGCAUAAGACAUAAUUUUACUUCUAUAUAAAUGUUUGUACUUACAUGUACGCAUUUCCAUAAAUACAAAUAUAAUUUAAAAUAUUGGGUUUUGAUUAGCCUAAUGGCUGCCGAAAUAAUAAUCAUGUAAUAAAAUUUUUACCUUGGUAUUUGACUUUUCA